rnacentral:misc_RNA from 1 species
GCCAUGACAGGCUGUGGCAUAUCAGUUACCUAUGUCAUUGGUUCUGUUUGUGACUGGCGCAUCUUGGCUCUACUUGGUACUAUUCCAUGUCUAAUUCAACUUCUUGGUGCCUUCUUCAUUUCAGAGUCUCCUAGAUGGCUGGCAAAAGUUGGUCGAGAAAAAGAGUUGGAAGUUGCUCUCAAGCUGCUCAGGGGAAAGAAUGCUGAUGUUUCUCAUGAAGCAGCUGAAAUCACUGAAUAUACCGAACACUUAGAUCAGCUAGCAGAAGAUGGAAUUAAAGAGUUGUUCCAGCAAAAAUACGCCUGUGUAGUUAUAGUAUCUCCAGUGGUGUUGGGUCUGUAGCAGCAAGUGUUGUGCGGAUAAUAAUGAACAUUUGCGGUCUGUUCUUAGUUGAUAAAAGUGGAAGACUACCACUUUUCUUGGUUUCUUCAACUGGAGUGUGCUUGGGUUCAUUCAUUACAAGACUGUCCUUCCUGUUGCAGGGCUUUCAUUUGGGAAAAGAAAUCACUCCUUCAUUGGCACUUGCAGGCAUAUUGGUAAUGGAAGUUACCUAAACAUCUUAAUUUCUCCAUUGUAUCAGUUAAUAAAUUAUAAUAUUACUUGAAGAAUAGAUUUAAAAUUCUUGAUUCUGCCAUUUGGUAUUCAUAGCAUUUUGGCAGUAGGCGUGGGAGGGAUACCACGGAUUACAGUGGCAGAGAUAUUUCGUGUAAACAUAAAGGGUAGAGCUGGAAGCUUAGUAAACUUGGUCAGUUCAGUUGGGUCCUGGAUUGUUGCAUACAAAUUUAACUUUUUGUUUGAGCGGAGCUCAGCCGGAGUAUUUUUCAUAUAUGCAAUUAUUCCUGGUCUGGGGGUUGUAUUUAUUGCCAAGUUGGUACCUGAGACGAAGGGGC